rnacentral:rRNA from 1 species
GAUACCCGCUGAACUUAAGCAUAUCAAUAAGCGGAGGAAAAGAAACCAACCGGGAUUGCCUCAGUAACGGCGAGUGAAGCGGCAAGAGCUCAAAUUUGAAAGCUGGCUCCUUCGGGGUCCGCAUUGUAAUUUGCAGAGGUAGGGUUCCUAGCGUGCGGCCCCUGUCUAAGUGCCCUGGAACGGGCCGUCAGAGAGGGUGAGAAUCCCGUCUGGGAUGGGGUGUCCGCGCCCGUGUGAAGCUCCUUCGACGAGUCGAGUUGUUUGGGAAUGCAGCUCUAAAUGGUGGUAAAUUUCAUCUAAAGCUAAAUACUGGCCGGAGACCGAUAGCGCACAAGUAGAGUGAUCGAAAGAUGAAAAGCACUUUGAAAGAGAUUAAAAGCACGUGAAUUGUUGAAAGGGAAGCGCUUGCGACCAGACUCGCCUCCAGGGUUCAGCCGGCAUUCGUGCCGGUGUACUUCCCUGGGGGCGGGCCAGCGUCGGUUUGGGCGGCCGGUCAAAGGCUCCCGGAAUGUAGUGCCCUCCGGGGCACCUUAUAGCCGGGAGUGCAAUGCGGCCCGGGCUGACGAGGAACGCGCUUCGGC